UGAGGAAUAUUGGUCAAUGGGCGAGAGCCUGAACCAGCCAAGUCGCGUGAGGGAUGACGGCCCUACGGGUUGUAAACCUCUUUUGCCGGGGAGCAAUGCUCCGCACGCGUGCGGAGCGGGAGAGUACCCGGAGAAAAAGCAUCGGCUAACUCCGUGCC
rnacentral:rRNA from 1 species